rnacentral:rRNA from 1 species
CCUACGGGCGGCAGCAGUGGGGAAUAUUGGACAAUGGGGGGAACCCUGAUCCAGCCAUGCCGCGUGUGUGAAGAAGGCCCUCGGGUUGUAAAGCACUUUCAGUGAGGAAGAACGCCUGGUGGUUAAUACCCAUCAGGAAAGACAUCACUCACAGAAGAAGCACCGGCUAACUCCGUGCCAGCAGCCGCGGUAAUACGGAGGGUGCGAGCGUUAAUCGGAUUUACUGGGCGUAAAGCGCGCGUAGGUGGCUUGAUAAGCCGGUUGUGAAAGCCCCGGGCUCAACCUGGGAACGGCAUCCGGAACUGUCAAGCUAGAGUGCAGGAGAGGAAGGUAGAAUUCCCGGUGUAGCGGUGAAAUGCGUAGAGAUCGGGAGGAAUACCAGUGGCGAAGCCGGCCUUCUGGACUGACACUGACACUGAGGUGCGAAAGCGUGGGUAGCAAACAGGAUUAGAUACCCUAGUAGUC